AGAAGCAUAGCUGAGGAGAUAGAGCACUUGAUUAGCAAGCAAGCAUGAAGCCCUGGGUUCAAAUUCCAGUACUACCA
rnacentral:tRNA from 1 species